AGCAGCCGCGGUAAUUCCAGCUCCAAUAGCGUAUAUUAAAGUUGUUGCAGUUAAAAAGCUCGUAGUUGAAUUUCGGGAUCAAUUAAUUGGUCGUGCCUCUGGUACGUACUGAUUUUAUUGGUUUCUCCCUUCUGACGAACCAUGAUGUCAUUAAUUUGGUGUCGUGGAGAAUCAGGACUGUUACUUUGAAAAAUUAGAGUGUUUAAAGCAAGCUAACGCUUGAAUACAUUAGCAUGGAAUAAUGAAAUAGGACGUUUGAUCCUAUUUUGUUGGUUUCUAGGAUCGACGUAAUGAUUAAUAGGGAUAGUUGGGGGCAUUAGUAUUCAAUUGUCAGAGGUGAAAUUCUUGGAUUUAUUGAAGACUAACUACUGCGAAAGCAUUUGCCAAGGAUGUUUUCAUUAAUCAAGAACGAAAGUUAGGGGAUCGAAGACGAUCAGAUACCGUCGUAGUCUUAACCAUAAACUAUGCCGACUAGGGAUCGGAUGAUGUUAAUUUUUAAUGACUCAUUCGGCGCCUUAAC
rnacentral:sRNA from 1 species